UGACGUUAGCGGCGGACGGGUGAGUAACACGUGGGCAACCUACCUUAUAGUUUGGGAUAACUCCGGGAAACCGGGGCUAAUACCGAAUAAUCUAUUUCACUUCAUGGUGAAAUACUGAAAGACGGUCUCGGCUGUCGCUAUAAGAUGGGCCCGCGGCGCAUUAGCUAGUUGGUGAGGUAACGGCUCACCAAGGCGACGAUGCGUAGCCGACCUGAGAGGGUGAUCGGCCACACUGGGACUGAGACACGGCCCAGACUCCUACGGGAGGCAGCAGUAGGGAAUCUUCCACAAUGGGCGAAAGCCUGAUGGAGCAACGCCGCGUGAGUGAAGAAGGUUUUCGGAUCGUAAAACUCUGUUGUAAGGGAAGAACAAGUACAGUAGUAACUGGCUGUACCUUGACGGUACCUUAUUAGAAAGCCACGGCUAACUACGUGCCAGCAGCCGCGGUAAUACGUAGGUGGCAAGCGUUGUCCGGAAUUAUUGGGCGUAAAGCGCGCGCAGGCGGUCCUUUAAGUCUGAUGUGAAAGCCCACGGCUCAACCGUGGAGGGUCAUUGGAAACUGGGGGACUUGAGUGCAGAAGAGGAAAGUGGAAUUCCAAGUGUAGCGGUGAAAUGCGUAGAGAUUUGGAGGAACACCAGUGGCGAAGGCGACUUUCUGGUCUGUAACUGACGCUGAGGCGCGAAAGCGUGGGGGAGCAAACAGGAUUAGA
rnacentral:rRNA from 1 species